rnacentral:misc_RNA from 1 species
GACGUCAUGAGUGACGUUUUCGCCGCGACCACAACGACCGCGGUUGUUAUGUGGAACGACUAAAGGAGCAUUUUGAUCGUUGUGAGCGCUUAGUGGAACGCACCGCAAAAAGGUCUUGUACAAAAUAUAUAACAAACUUAACAAAAUCUUAAAGAGUAAAAAGGAAGUAGUGACUAGUUUCACGUCUUUGUUUACUGCUCGUGAGUACGCGUGUGUCUAGCUCGGUGGUUGGAACGGAAGAGAGCGAAUAGCAGCGGUUGUUCAAAUGCGUGGUGUUUUUUUAGUUCUUUUGUUUCGCCACUAGGGGCGUGACGGUAAGAGUGCCGGAGGCGCCAAGCUUUGGCGUGACGGCCACAAGAACUAUUUAUUUCAUUUGUUCAUUUAUAAAAUCACAUGUACUUAAAUCUGAACUCCUGAAUACCACCGCCGCCCUCAUAGAGAAUUAUCGUACUUGCUAUUUCCCCAUUUUCAACAACACAAAUUCGACAAAAACGCAUAUCUCGAUCGUCCUCCUUGUAUAUAGCUUCGUUCACAAAACCAUUAUCGAGAACCUAUUAUACUGCCGAAUGUUAAAGAAAUUCUAGAAGAACGUUUACGUUGUAAUAAAAAUAUAAGUUUUAGCGAGAUUUAUAAUAAACUUGAUCCAAUCCUUGGCACUGCCGAUGGCUUUUCAUAUGGAAGUAACAAGCGCAUGCAUUUGCAAAGAAAGAAGGGUUUAUGGAAACCAGUUGGACCUACAGAUAUGUAUAGAAUACCAAUAACAAUAGCCCAAGAGAUUGGAUUUUGGACAGAGGAUUCUUUAUUAUCCCAAGCAAAUUGGAUAAAGUCGACAAUAAAUUAUGGCAGAAGAAACAGCGACAUGACUAAGUAUAUUGCACACGUCAUAUCUUUACAUGUAUGCAUAAUAUGUAUUUUACUUUCCAGUACAUUUCACAAACUAAGACUCGCCGAUUCAUUGGUAGCUCUUUAGAGAAAUUCAUUUGAUUGUCAAAACAAUCCUUUUCAACUUGCAAAAUAAUGAAAUUAAUAUUGAAAUAUCUAAUAAUAUAAUUACAAAUUUUUUCUUUGAUUCAAAUCCUACGUAAUAAAAUAAGGCAUAAUAUAGUUUGUUAUAUAAGAGAUAUUUAAAAGAGUUUUGAUUAGUGUUUGAGUGAAUCGAAAGAAUAAAUGAAUACAAUAAAUAAUAGCUUAAAAUUGUUAUAAGAAGA